rnacentral:lncRNA from 1 species
GAACUCAAGUCAAUUAAGAAAAUAUUUCAUGCACACCAUGAAGGAUAACAGUUCUUUGAGAACCCUGGGGAUUGGCAACUAUGACAAAAAUAAUGGCACUGGUCAGAAGCCAGGUUAAACCUUUAGUACUGUGUGGUCAUAACUCCAUCCAGCCUGUGCUCCUGUCACACAGUAUCAGCUCAAUGUCUAGAAGGUCUGGAGACUGAAGCUCCACAUGGGCAAUUGAAGAUGGAGACCCAGUAAAGACCCUGGACACCAAGACUUAGGUGAACUUCCCUGUUUGGCAAUAUUCUGUGCAUCAUGUCAGACAUCAUUGCUGGGAGAAGUUAACACUGUCCAUGGAGGGAGGACAACUGGAAGCUCUGCAUUUGGAACCCUUCUGGACUCUGCCCCACACACCUCUUCACUUGGCUGAUUUUAAUCUUUAUCCUUUUGCUGUUAUAAACUGUAACCGUGAGUCUGUCAGCUUUCAAUGAGUUCUGUGAGUCCUUCUAGAGAAUCAUCAAACCAAAAGGUGGACUUGGGGAGUCCCAAACUUGCAACUGGUGUUCAAAGUCCACAAAGGUGGUCUUGUGGACUGUGUCCCCUAACUUUUCACUACUAGAGAUUAAAU